rnacentral:tRNA from 1 species
CGGGAUAUGGCGCAGUUUGGUAGCGCACUCGCUUUGGGAGCGAGGGGUCGCAGGUUCAAAUCCUGUUAUCCCGAC